rnacentral:misc_RNA from 1 species
GUAGGUGAACCUGCGGAAGGAUCAUUAACACUAUCCAAAAAAAACGUGUCUUUUUUAUUUUAAAAAAGGCAUUAACCCCCUUAUUAGUGAACCAAACUUUUUUUUCAUUUUUUCUAUUUUUUUCACAAACCCAAUUGAAUUUUUUUUAAAAGACUGAAAUUAUUGUUUCUUUUUUUUUUCUUCUACAAAAAGAAAAAAAAAAAAGAAUCAAAUGAAAAUAUAAUGCUAAAAACAACUCUUAACAACGGAUAUCUUGGUUCUC